rnacentral:rRNA from 1 species
UACGUAGGGUGCGAGCGUUGUCCGGAAUUAUUGGGCGUAAAGAGCUCGUAGGCGGUCUGUCGCGUCGGAUGUGAAAGCCCGGGGCUUAACCCCGGGUCUGCAUUCGAUACGGGCAGGCUAGAGUGUGGUAGGGGAGAUCGGAAUUCCUGGUGUAGCGGUGAAAUGCGCAGAUAUCAGGAGGAACACCGAUGGCGAAGGCAGGUCUCUGGGCCACUACUGACGCUGAGAAGCGAAAGCAUGGGGAGCGAACAGG